AGUGCAACGUAUACAAAUGAUAAUUGCGAGUUAAUCUUUAAUUACACAUCUCCACACAACAACAAUGUUUUCGUACGUUAGUCUUAACAUGGUGAUAGGAUCGAGGCAAUGACAUUGACAGUGGACAAUACAUGAGAACAUACAUUUAGGGUUAUGUGGUGUGGUUUCCUUGGAGGAACAUGGAUCCCCACCGGACUGAGAUCCAGAGCUCCAACCCCAGGAUCCAGAGUGUCUCUGAGUCUCUACAAUAAGGUGCAGGACCUGGUGGUCUGUAAAGAGCCAGCUCUCCUGGGCUACAUCCAAGCUGGCAUCAUUGAGGGGGUGCGGACCACUUACAAGUCACUGAGACCAGCCCACCCAGAUGGUACCCCCUUCCCCUGUGUGUGCCAAUAACCCAGGGAAGAAGAAGAAGAGAUGGAGAAUAUGCUCUUCUCCCAGUUCCUUCCUGGAAAUCUGGCAGAUAAACUAUGCCAACACAAUGGCGAAUGGCUGCGCUCUAUCAAACUGUUCAACAGAGCUUUUACAGCAGUGGGCUCAGGUCAGGCGUGAGGAAGAGGACAACAAAGAGACUAAUGGUCUCUUCUGUCUGGCUGAGAACCCUCUUGCACUCGACUGUAGUGUGGCAGCCUACUAGAGAGUGUGCCCUGAAGACUUGUUUGUUGAGGACACUGAUUCUAGCAAGUAUGUGUCCGGUGAUAAGAGUCAGCAGAGAAUAGCAGGGUUACAAUAUUGGCAAUAUCUUCAAUAUUAACAACGUAAAACCGCAAACAAAUAAAUGAAUAAAA